UCCCUUGUAGCUCAGUCGGUAAAGAAUCUGCCUGCAGUGCAGGAGAUCUGGGUUCAAUCCCUGGGUUGGGAA
rnacentral:tRNA from 1 species